rnacentral:misc_RNA from 1 species
UGGUUCCGGCAUNGAUGAAGAACGCAGCGAAAUGCGAUAAGUAGUGUGAAUUGCAGAAUUCAGUGAAUCAUCGAAUCUUUGAACGCACAUUGCGCCCUUUGGCAGCCCAAAGGGCACAUCUGUUCGAGUGUCAUGUUACUCUUCAAGCCUGGCUUGGUGUUGGGUGCUUGCCGCCUUUUAGGGCUCACCUUAAAAAAAUAAGUGCUUGAGUAGUUACAAGUAGCGGAGUAGAAUCUGCUGGUUUUGUGGCUGCAAGAGCACUAUAAACGCAUCUACCAUAUUUUGACCUCGGAUCAGAUGGGGAUACCCGCUGA